GACGAACGCUGGCGGCGUGCUUAACACAUGCAAGUCGAACGCUGAACCCGCUUCGGUGGGGGAUGAGUGGCGAACGGGUGAGUAACACGUGGGCAACCUGCCCCCGGCUCUGGGAUAACUCCAAGAAAUUGGGGCUAAUACCGGAUGUGACCGCUGGCCGCAUGGUCUGGUGGUGGAAAGGGUUUCCGGCUGGGGAUGGGCCGCGGCCUAUCAGCUUGUUGGUGGGGUAGUGGCCUACCAAGGCGACGACGGGUAGCCGGCCUGAGAGGGUGACCGGCCACACUGGGACUGAGACACGGCCCAGACUCCUACGGGAGGCAGCAGUGGGGAAUAUUGCGCAAUGGGCGGAAGCCUGACGCAGCGACGCCGCGUGGGGGAUGACGGCCUUCGGGUUGUAAACCUCUUUCAGCAGGGACGAAGCGCAAGUGACGGUACCUGCAGAAGAAGCACCGGCCAACUACGUG
rnacentral:rRNA from 1 species